GAUGAACGCUGGCGGCGUGCCUAAUACAUGCAAGUCGAGCGAACAGACGAGGAGCUUGCUCCUCUGACGUUAGCGGCGGACGGGUGAGUAACACGUGGAUAACCUACCUAUAAGACUGGGAUAACUUCGGGAAACCGGAGCUAAUACCGGAUAAUAUAUUGAACCGCAUGGUUCAAUAGUGAAAGACGGUUUUGCUGUCACUUAUAGAUGGAUCCGCGCCGCAUUAGCUAGUUGGUAAGGUUACGGCUUACCAAGGCAACGAUGCGUAGCCGACCUGAGAGGGUGAUCGGCCACACUGGAACUGAGACACGGUCCAGACUCCUACGGGAGGCAGCAGUAGGGAAUCUUCCGCAAUGGGCGAAAGCCUGACGGAGCAACGCCGCGUGAGUGAUGAAGGUCUUCGGAUCGUAAAACUCUGUUAUUAGGGAAGAACAAAUGUGUAAGUAACUAUGCACGUCUUGACGGUACCUAAUCAGAAAGCCACGGCUAACUACGUG
rnacentral:rRNA from 1 species